GUUAGCGUAGCUUAACUAAAGCAUAACACUGAAGAUGUUAAGAUAGUCCCUAGAAAGGACUCGUAAACA
rnacentral:tRNA from 1 species